CACGUAGGGUGCGAGCGUUGUCCGGAAUUAUUGGGCGUAAAGAGCUCGUAGGCGGUGUGUCGCGUCGGCCGUGAAAACCUGCAGCUUAACUGUGGGCUUGCGGUCGAUACGGGCGGGCUGGAGUUCGGUGUGGGAGGAGAGAAUUCCUGGUGUAGCGGUGAAAUGCGCAGAUAUCAGGAGGAACACCGGUGGCGAAGGCGGGUCUCUGGGCCGAUACUGACGCUGAGGAGCGAAAGCGUGGGGAGCGAACAGG
rnacentral:rRNA from 1 species